CUGGGUUGUUUAUUCUUUUACAGUACAUUGAUUUUUCAGUUUUGGCUUUUGAGGGAGCUUGCUCAAUAGGAAUCCAAAAGUGCUUUUGCUUAUACCACUUCUGAGAAUUAAAAACAGACAUGAUGUAAGUAUCAAUGUUGACUAUUUCAGAAAAAAAAGAAACAUCCAAAUAGUGAAAAGUUAAAAUUAAAUUUGAUCUUUUUAUUUUUUAUUUUUUUGAGAUGGAAUCUCACUGUGUCGCCUAGGCUGGAGUGCAGUGGCGUGAUCUUGAUUCACUGCAAUGUCCACCUCCCGGGUCCAAGCAAUUCUCCUGCCUCAGCCUCCCAAGUUGGCUGUGAUUACAGCACUCUUCUUUCUGGGAGGAAACUAGACUGCUUUAGAAAUCACUGCAGGAAUCACAGAGUAAAAUGGAGAAGAACCCAGGGAUGUGUCAUAACACAGUAGUCUGAAAAAGGGCCAGGUAGAAGAGUGGGAAGGACUAUGCCUCUGGCAAGUGCAAGUUCAUAAAUUCCAGUUUCUUCAAGUUACGAGGCACAUCUGCAUCCCCAGAUGAUGGCUACUGGUCAGAACACUGAACUCAUACCAAAAGCUGCUGUUGUUGACAGUUUAAUGUCUAUGGAUCUGACUCGGAGAGAAAUGUGCCACUUACUGAAUCACCAACACCAUAUCUUUGGUGUUGAGGUGGGGCACGCUUACUUUUUCAUCUGAAGAUUGACACAGCCCACCAAGAACAUUUGAAAGAGACAGGAUUGCUGCUGAAAAGGCAUGACAUCAAGCCACACAAAUUGGAUGGUAAGACUAGAGAUUAACUUGUGAACAGGUCGUAUGACGAGAGCUGAAACGUACAACUGGAUCUUGGUCAUGCCAUUCCUCAAAGGAGACUAAGAAAUCCUGAAUUUUUAAUUUAUGCUUAAUAGCCAUGGCUUUGUCUCUACAGAGUGUUUGUGAUACAUUUCUAAGCAUUGGUAAAUUAAUUCUUACUGCACCAACUUGGUGGAAAUCUGUUCCAUCAGAAAGAGUUAAUACAUCCAAAGAGAUAGAAACACAUUUAAGACUAACUUUCACAAGUUCCUGCUUAGCUAAGAAUGAAACUAGAAAACUUUAUUUUGAGUAUUUUACAUUUCUGAUGGUACAGAAUCAACAGUUUGGGAAGCUUAAUACCUAUUUGCCAAGAGAAAAAGUCAGAAUUCUCUUUUCAGGUCUACAUUCUUUUAACUUGUCUCAUCUUUUUAUGUACCCUAGUAGUUUCAGAGAUACACUUGAAGAUAGAGCAAUUUCUGUUUUCAUCACUUUUAACAACAAUGGGUCUUUUUAUCAUUGUCAAUGAAUCAAUAUUCAGCCAGUGCUCCUGAGGAGAUGAAAAAUUCCACCGGCAAUUAUCUUACAGAGUCACCAUGAUUACUAGGUUAUAUGGUUUGGCUGUGCCCCCACCCAAAUCUCAUCUUGAAUUCCCAUGUGUUGCGGGAGGGACCCAGUGGGAGGUAACUGAAUCAUGGAGACAAGUCUUUCUUGUGCUGUUCUUAUGAUAGUGAAUAAGUCUCAUGAGAUCUUAUGGUUUUAUAAAGAAGAGUCCCCCUGCACAAGCUCUCUCUCUCUUUGCCUGCUGCCAUCUAUUUAAGAUGUGACUUGCUCUUCCUUGCCUUCCGCCGUGAUUGUGAGGCUUCCCCAGCCAUGUGGAACUGUAAGUCCAAUUAAACCUCUUCUUUUGU
rnacentral:lncRNA from 1 species